UACGUAGGUGGCAAGCGUUGUCCGGAAUUAUUGGGCGUAAAGCGCGCGCAGGCGGUCCUUUAAGUCUGAUGUGAAAGCCCACGGCUCAACCGGUGGAGGGUCAUUGGAAACUGGGGGACUUGAGUACAGAAGAGAAAGAGGUGGAAUUCCACGUGUAGCGGUGAAAUGCGUAGAGAUGUGGAGGAACACCAGUGGCGAAGGCGACUCUUUGGUCUGUAACUGACGCUGAGGCGCGAAAAGCGUGGGGAGCAAACAGG
rnacentral:rRNA from 1 species